rnacentral:lncRNA from 1 species
AGUAGUGUCAGCAAGCUCUGCCCAUGCCUGUGGUGUCUGCUUGCGUUUGGGCUUGCCUGCCCUUGGUGAAGGGCAAGAAAUGGAAACUGCUCUCAGGGAAUGCUGGUCUCAGCACUCCACUGGGGGUUGGGCCACCAGCACAGGCAGGCUUGGAAUUUUCCAUCAAGUGGGUCAUAUGGCACAUGAUUUAUAACAUUAGGUGCAAAAGGGUUUUGUUUGACCUCAGGCUUUACGUUUUUUAUAGCAGCAUUUAAAAACUGGUUACCAUCUGUAUAUAAAGAAAAGGUGUGUGUGUGUGUGUGUGUGUGUGUGUGUGUGUGUGUGUGUGUGUGUGCUCACGAGCGCGCUCGCACGCAAACCAGUAUCUUUGGCAUCAGAGCUCACGAAACAUUGCAGGAAAGCAAGCCCAGGGGCAGGUAGACCAGAGAGCCCAUUGCUACUGCUGUGGUCCAGAGGAGCAAGCUUUAUGGCAGAGGGUCAGAGAUCAGACAUUAAUACAACAGAACCUGAGGUAGGUAAAAAAGGAUAAGUUAACGUCUAGGUCAUGCCAGGUAGACCACAGCAAAUGCCUCGGGAUUCUAAAAGUUCUUAUUUAUUACUCACUGGGUCUUGAGUUUGACUUUGUCUGUUAGUCAUGGGAUAUUAGGUCUGACACAGGGGUGGACAAAGAAUGGCUAUUUAAGGGGCUAAGCAUAGCCCAAAUAAAUUGUGAUUAGCCCUGCAUCUGUAACAUCCUAACCUUUUCACGUUUCUGAAGUUCUAACCAGCCAAUUGACCUUUGCAGACACAGCUCCUUUUCAGGGAUUCUCAUUCACACUGCUCUUCCACAGGACCUAAGUUCGAGGCCGAGCACCCAGGUCGGGUGGCUCACCACUUGCAGCUUCUUCUAGGCACAGACCUUUAAUCCCCACGCCAGGGAGGCAGAAGCAGGUAGAUUUCGAUGAGUUCGUUCUUCCACAUACCAGCCACGCUGUCAGCAGCUGAUGAAGCAGGGUGUCAAAAAUUUUCCUGUGAGGACAGAAGACCAGGAUGGUAUUUAAUGGUUUGAAGGAGUUAUUUUCAUGGUAAUAAACAUUGCCCAAGUCCUUAGUAUGUUUCAUGUAGAUGCUCUUGCAAAUGAGUUUUGUGGAUCCUGCCGCAUUGCAUUGCCAUUCUGAUGCUAAGCACAGCGGAGCGUGACCAGAG